UACAGAGGUCCCGAGCGUUUGUUCGGAUUCACUGGGCGUAAAGGGCUCGUAGGCGGUCUGUCGCGUCGGGAGUGAAAACUCAGGGCUUAACCCUGAGCCUGCUUCCGAUACGGGCAGACUAGAGGUAUGCAGGGGGAGAACGGAAUUCCUGGUGUAGCGGUGAAAUGCGCAGAUAUCAGGAGGAACACCAGUGGCGAAGGCGGUUCUCUGGGCAUUACCUGACGCUGAGGAGCGAAAGCGUGGGGGAGCAAACAGG
rnacentral:rRNA from 1 species